rnacentral:lncRNA from 1 species
GUCUAUAAAUUUAUUGUUGUUCCAAUCUUUGACAAUGUAAUAAAAAUGCAAGGUCUGGAAAAUGCUUUCAUGUAGUAUUAUAUUAACAUGUGUAAAAUAUAAAUAAUUAUAUACAAAAUUCAAGUUGACUUCUAAAGACUAGUAAUGGAAAGCAACUAAAUACAAAGUUGUGCAAUCUCUAAAAUUAAGUAAAUAAAAGUAGGAAAGUAUAUAAAUUUGGAGAACAAAAUAUUUUGUAAUUGAAAGGAUAAUAUGUAGUGCAUCAAGCCAAUCAUUUAUAUUCUUCAACACUCCCUCCUCAAAAUAGUAGUGACACGACACAAAAGUGGUUGAGUACUCCUAAGUAUAAGAGUGUCUACUUAUAAUAUAAACUAGUGAGUUUUGGGGUCGAACUACAGAGAAUUUAAAAAUCUAGAUGUCAAUUAAUAUCUUAUGUUUUCAAUUAGCAGAGUAGUCGCAAAAAAUAGAUUCUUGAAAGUCAUACGAGAAAUAAAAAGUAGCUCGAAGACAAAAUAUCAACAUCUUUAAAUUUAUUAUUGAGUAGUAUUUUUUUUAAAUUGCUCUACCAUUUUUUAAAAGCUUACUAAAAUAAUAUAAUUGCAAUAAUUAAGGCCUAUUCAUUAUCUUAUUUUGAGUCCCAUACAAAUUUUCAUAUCCUGAAAACAAGUUGAAUAAUUGUUCAGUACAAUGUUAUGAUAAAAUAAAUUAUAAAACACAAAAUAAAAAUCUCACUUUUUACUCGUAAAGCUAAAGAACGACUUUUUAUUAUUUUGUUGAAUUCCGAGAAUGCAAGCCAUCACUAAUUUCUCUCUCCUAGAAAUGCCAGCCGAUCUCACUCUUUUUCCUUCUUCUUAUCAAUUAAUUUCUAUUUACCGGAACAAACCCGAAUCUUCCAAAAUAUCUAUUGGCAAAAAUUGGUGAGAUUGGAAGGAGAGGAGAUUAGCACCCUUUCAUAACUUGGAAGGAUAUUAACACCAUAUCAAACCUCUCUCUUUCUCUCUCAUCUGUAUCUAAAUUUAGUGUCCAUGGAAAUUGGAAUGGGUUUUGUGAGAUUGAUAAUAUCCAAACAUCUAAUGCUGCAAUUAGUUUUGUGAUUUAAAAUUUGAUGUUAAAUUAAAUAAAACUAAGUUUUCGAGAAGUUUAGGGGAUUUAUGAUUAUAGAGUGUUGGAAAAUUGAUGGGUGAAGCAGACACGUAGCUAAAGUGAAAUUGAGAAAUAAUGAGACACAAAAUCACAUAAGGACACCAGAAAUUACAUGGUUCGGCUUUCAUCCUCCGUCCACGGGCGAAAACAGAAGGAAAAUAUUUUACUAGUAAAAAGGAGUUACAAGUAUUGUAGUAUUUUAGCUCACUUUCCAAAAUCCCAAUACACCAAAACUCUCAAAUCACUAUAGCACGAGCUUAUAAUUUCAAGCUCUCUAAACUCUCUCUCUCAAAUGCUAAAUUACUCUCUCUCAAAUGGAAUGAAUUUGCUCAUUCUCUUUGUUUAUAUUUAUAGAGAAAGUUUUGGCACUAUUCAUCAAUUAUAUAUUAUUUUUAGGGUCCGCCUAACUUACGUUCAACGUAAGUUACGCUCAG